rnacentral:lncRNA from 1 species
UUAAGACACUCAAGCCGAUUUCGUUAAGGCUUCGAGAGAUCCUGGGUUCGAAUCCCGGUCACCCCACCAGGAAGGGCCCUGGUUUACCAAAACCCAUCCACACCUUGGUGGUGUGUAGACCCCCCCUGUGGUGCAGGGUGUCUCUGGGGUACAAGGCUGGAGCUCUGGGCCUGCAACUGGAGAGCUUUCAAGUUCAAGAUCCAAGAUUCAAGUGGAGCUCUGGGCCUGUCAAUGGGAGAGUUCUAGAUGAUCUGUGUGGUCAAGGCAGUGGCUGUAGUUGUCACCUAGCUGUUGAGAACUCCAGUAGGUGUGUGGUGUCACCUGGCUGUUGAGGUUUCCAGUAGGUGUGUGGUGGAACAAAAACUUCUCUUCUCUUCUCUGAUCUCUGGCCCUAUCGAGGUUCUGUGAUAUGAUCCAGGCUGCCUUGGCAGUAGGGUGGUAGUGCGUCUACCACCGCAACCUUGUAAGGAUGACUUUAAAAAAAAAAGACGUCGGAGCAUGUGGUUCGGGAGGUGGUCAGCGAGCUGCGCAGGGUGAUGCAGCUGCGUUUCACUGCCACCACGCUAACCCCUGAAACCCUGUCGGCUCUGCCCACACAGCUUCUCACCGCACAGCUCAAGGCGGCUAAGCUGGAGCACUUUGUUGCCAUCUGGACGGCGGGUGGCGCGCUUUGUGAAGUGGAGGAGGUUCAGGGUGGGUCACCGAAGUUGAACUUGCGGCUGACGCUUGCAUCACCUGUGCAGGCCCCCUAGGUUCCUUUUGGGUGGCGUUUCUUUCCAGGCGCUGGCGUGGCGUAUUAUCGUCAUCAGCUUGUCUGGCGCCCAUGAGCGUAGUACUAGCUCUGGCUGGAGUGGCAGCGCCUGGGCGGCUGUGGGACUUCCUGCACAGAGCGUCUUGCAGCGGACUGGAGCCCGCUUAGUCAGCGCCACAUCUGGCCCGUUUAGUUUUCUGCUUGUGUCUCCUCUGCCGGUUCUCCUGGGGUGUUGCUUAAGCAACCGACUUGUGGGGGUGGGGUGGGUUUGGGCGGGGCGUGUGCGUAGCGCUGGUGGUUUCUUUUCUGGCGCGCGGUGGUGGUGGUUCUUGCGGUUAGGCUGUGGUGUAGGUUGGUGCUUGGGUUAGGUCUGGCGGUGUUUAGGUGCUGGUGUACCGGCUGCAACAUGCUUACCUGCCUUGCGGGCUGUACCGGGCGGGCAAGGGAAUUCGUCCACGGGUGACCACGGGGUGCGGGGGGUUGGGGGCGCACUGUCCUCACCCCGCCUGCGGGCCACCUGGCCCGCGGGCGUGGGCCAGCCUGACGCACAUCUUCCUGGAGUGUCCAGCUUAUGCGCAGGCGAGGACGUGGCUGCAGCAGCUGUGGGCCUGCGUUGCGCCCCAGGCAGCGGCGCCGCCAGUGACAGACGCAGGCUUCAUGCUGGGGGACCGCAUGGGUAUGUGGGCCUCAGGCCCGUGGGGGGCGGGCGCGCUGCUGUGGAGCACUUUGCGGGCCACCUUCUUGUACGCCGUCUGGUGUGCGUACUGGUCCCGCGAGCCUGCUAAGCAGGGGUGGGCGGUUCUGCUUCGAGUGGAUAGCGUCAAGGGACGAAUUCGCUCGAGGUCAUGGGUUCGACUCCCAUACACCCCUCCGAUUUUGAUCGGAAUGAAUAGACUACAGACAUGCAGUGGGCUGGACGAGUUUAGGCUUAGUUGAUUUGGCUGGAUUCAGUCCGGAAGGUUUGCUGCAGACUCCAAAAAAUUGAGUAGUUCUGAUUGGUCGGGUGACUGAGCAGGGUCCUAGCACUCGAUGUUAGGAGCAGAACCGGAGGUAAAUGGAGCUCUUACGAGAGCAAGCCUACUACUAGAGUAGGUCGUUGGCGUUGCAGGUGGCACGUCCCUGAGGUCCAGAGCAGAUGUCGCUCGCGACUCGCGUCAGCAAGUCCCUCUUGUAACCAAUGCACGUCGUGGAAGGGGGGGUCGUCUAAAUGGUUAAGACACUCAAGCCGAUUUCGUUAAGGCUUCGAGAGAUCCUGGGUUCGAAUCCCGGUCACCCCACCAGGAAGGGCCCUGGUUUACCAAAACCCAUCCACACCUUGGUGGUGUGUAGACCCCCCCUGUGGUGCAGGGUGUCUCUGGGGUACAAGGCUGGAGCUCUGGGCCUGCAACUGGAGAGCUUUCAAGUUCAAGAUCCAAGAUUCAAGUGGAGCUCUGGGCCUGUCAAUGGGAGAGUUCUAGAUGAUCUGUGUGGUCAAGGCAGUGGCUGUAGUUGUCACCUAGCUGUUGAGAACUCCAGUAGGUGUGUGGUGUCACCUGGCUGUUGAGGUUUCCAGUAGGUGUGUGGUGGAACAAAAACUUCUCUUCUCUUCUCUGAUCUCUGGCCCUAUCGAGGUUCUGUGAUAUGAUCCAGGCUGCCUUGGCAGUAGGGUGGUAGUGCGUCUACCACCGCAACCUUGUAAGGAUGACUUUAAAAAAAAAAGACGUCGGAGCAUGUGGUUCGGGAGGUGGUCAGCGAGCUGCGCAGGGUGAUGCAGCUGCGUUUCACUGCCACCACGCUAACCCCUGAAACCCUGUCGGCUCUGCCCACACAGCUUCUCACCGCACAGCUCAAGGCGGCUAAGCUGGAGCACUUUGUUGCCAUCUGGACGGCGGGUGGCGCGCUUUGUGAAGUGGAGGAGGUUCAGGGUGGGUCACCGAAGUUGAACUUGCGGCUGACGCUUGCAUCACCUGUGCAGGCCCCCUAGGUUCCUUUUGGGUGGCGUUUCUUUCCAGGCGCUGGCGUGGCGUAUUAUCGUCAUCAGCUUGUCUGGCGCCCAUGAGCGUAGUACUAGCUCUGGCUGGAGUGGCAGCGCCUGGGCGGCUGUGGGCCUUCCUGCACAGCGCGUCUUGCAGCGGGCUGGAGCCCGCUUAGUCAGCGCCACAUCUGGCCCGUUUAGUUUUCUGCUUGUGUCUCCUCUGCCGGUUCUCCUGGGGUGUUGCUUAAGCAACCGACUUGUGGGGGUGGGGUGGGUUUGGGCGGGGCGAGUGCGUAGCGCUGGUGUUUCCUUUUCUGGCGCGCGGUGGUGGUGGUUCUUGCGGUUAGGCUGUGGUGUAGGUUGGUGCUUGGGUUAGGUUUUGCGGUGUUUAGGUGCUGGUGUACCGGCUGCAACAUGCUUACCUGCCUUGCGGGCUGUACCAGGCGGGCAAGAGAAUUCGUCCACGGGUGACCACGGGGUGCGGGGGGUUGGGGGCGCACUGUCCUCACCCCGCCUGCGGGCCACCUGGCCCGCGGGCGUGGGCCAGCCUGACGCACAUCUUCCUGGAGUGUCCAGCUUAUGCGCAGGCGAGGACGUGGCUGCAGCAGCUGUGGGCCUGCGUUGCGCCCCAGGCAGCGGCGCCGCCAGUGACAGACGCAGGCUUCAUGCUGGGGGACCGCAUGGGUAUGUGGGCCUCAGGCCCGUGGGGGGCGGGCGCGCUGCUGUGGAGCACUUUGCGGGCCACCUUCUUGUACGCCGUCUGGUGUGCGUACUGGUCCCGCGAGCCUGCUAAGCAGGGGUGGGCGGUUCUGCUUCGAGUGGAUAGCGUCAAGGGACGAAUUCGCUCGAGGUCAUGGGUUCGACUCCCAUACACCCCUCCGAUUUCGAUCGGAAUGAAUAGACUACAGACAUGCAGUGGGCUGGACGAGUUUAGGCUUAGUUGAUUUGGCUGGAUUCAGUCCGGAAGGUUUGCUGCAGACUCCAAAAAAUUGAGUAGUUCUGAUUGGUCGGGUGACUGAGCAGGGUCCUAGCACUCGAUGUUAGGAGCAGAACCGGAGGUAAAUGGAGCUCUUACGAGAGCAAGCCUACUACUAGAGUAGGUCGUUGGCGUUGCAGGUGGCACGUCCCUGAGGUCCAGAGCAGAUGUCGCUCGCGACUCGCGUCAGCAAGUCCCUCUUGUAACCAAUGCACGUCGUGGAAGGGGGGGUCGUCUAAAUGGUUAAGACACUCAAGCCGAUUUCGUUAAGGCUUCGAGAGAUCCUGGGUUCGAAUCCCGGUCACCCCACCAGGAAGGGCCCUGGUUUACCAAAACCCAUCCACACCUUGGUGGUGUGUAGACCCCCCCUGUGGUGCAGGGUGUCUCUGGGGUACAAGGCUGGAGCUCUGGGCCUGCAACUGGAGAGCUUUCAAGUUCAAGAUCCAAGAUUCAAGUGGAGCUCUGGGCCUGUCAAUGGGAGAGUUCUAGAUGAUCUGUGUGGUCAAGGCAGUGGCUGUAGUUGUCACCUAGCUGUUGAGAACUCCAGUAGGUGUGUGGUGUCACCUGGCUGUUGAGGUUUCCAGUAGGUGUGUGGUGGAACAAAAACUUCUCUUCUCUUCUCUGAUCUCUGGCCCUAUCGAGGUUCUGUGAUAUGAUCCAGGCUGCCUUGGCAGUAGGGUGGUAGUGCGUCUACCACCGCAACCUUGUAAGGAUGACUUUAAAAAAAAAAAGACGUCGGAGCAUGUGGUUCGGGAGGUGGUCAGCGAGCUGCGCAGGGUGAUGCAGCUGCGUUUCACUGCCGCCACGCUAACCCCUGAAACCCUGUCGGCUCUGCCCACACAGCUUCUCACCACACAGCUCAAGGCGGCUAAGCUGGAGCACUUUGUUGCCAUCUGGACGGCGGGUGGCGCGCUUUGUGAAGUGGAGGAGGUUCAGGGUGGGUCAACGAAGUUGAACUUGCGGCUGACGCUUGCAUCACCUGUGCAGGCCCCCUAGAUUUCCUUUUGGGUGGCGUUUCUUUCCAGGUGCUGGCGUGGCGUAUUAUCGUCAUCAGCUUGUCUGGCGCCCAUGAGUACUAGCUCUGGCUGGAGUGGCAGCGCCUGGGCGGCUGUGGGACUUCCUGCACAGAGCGUCUUGCAGCGGACUGGAGCCCGCUUAGUCAGCGCCACAUCUGGCCCGUUUAGUUUUCUGCUUGUGUCUCCUCUGCCGGUUCUCCUGGGGUGUUGCUUAAGCAACCGACUUGUGGGGGUGGGGUGGGUUUGGGCGGGGCGUGUGCGUAGCGCUGGUGGUUUCUUUUCUGGCGCGCGGUGGUGGUGGUUCUUGCGGUUAGGCUGUGGUGUAGGUUGGUGCUUGGGUUAGGUCUGGCGGUGUUUAGGUGCUGGUGUACCGGCUGCAACAUGCUUACCUGCCUUGCGGGCUGUACCGGGCGGGCAAGGGAAUUCGUCCACGGGUGACCACGGGGUGCGGGGGGUUGGGGGCGCACUGUCCUCACCCCGCCUGCGGGCCACCUGGCCCGCGGGCGUGGGCCAGCCUGACGCACAUCUUCCUGGAGUGUCCAGCUUAUGCGCAGGCGAGGACGUGGCUGCAGCAGCUGUGGGCCUGCGUUGCGCCCCAGGCAGCGGCGCCGCCAGUGACAGACGCAGGCUUCAUGCUGGGGGACCGCAUGGGUAUGUGGGCCUCAGGCCCGUGGGGGGCGGGCGCGCUGCUGUGGAGCACUUUGCGGGCCACCUUCUUGUACGCCGUCUGGUGUGCGUACUGGUCCCGCGAGCCUGCUAAGCAGGGGUGGGCGGUUCUGCUUCGAGUGGAUAGCGUCAAGGGACGAAUUCGCUCGAGGUCAUGGGUUCGACUCCCAUACACCCCUCCGAUUUCGAUCGGAAUGAAUAGACUACAGACAUGCAGUGGGCUGGACGAGUUUAGGCUUAGUUGAUUUGGCUGGAUUCAGUCCGGAAGGUUUGCUGCAGACUCCAAAAAAUUGAGUAGUUCUGAUUGGUCGGGUGACUGAGCAGGGUCCUAGCACUCGAUGUUAGGAGCAGAACCGGAGGUAAAUGGAGCUCUGACGAGAGCAAGCCUACUACUAGAGUAGGUCGUUGGCGUUGCAGGUGGCACGUCCCUGAGGUCCAGAGCAGAUGUCGCUCGCGACUCGCGUCAGCAAGUCCCUCUUGUAACCNNNNNNNNNNNNNNNNNNNNNNNNNNNNNNNNNNNNNNNNNNNNNNNNNNNNNNNNNNNNNNNNNNNNNNNNNNNNNNNNNNNNNNNNNNNNNNNNNNNNUGGGCCUGCAACUGGAGAGCUUUCAAGUUCAAGAUCCAAGAUUCAAGUGGAGCUCUGGGCCUGUCAAUGGGAGAGUUCUAGAUGAUCUGUGUGGUCAAGGCAGUGGCUGUAGUUGUCACCUAGCUGUUGAGAACUCCAGUAGGUGUGUGGUGUCACCUGGCUGUUGAGGUUUCCAGUAGGUGUGUGGUGGAACAAAAACUUCUCUUCUCUUCUCUGAUCUCUGGCCCUAUCGAGGUUCUGUGAUAUGAUCCAGGCUGCCUUGGCAGUAGGGUGGUAGUGCGUCUACCACCGCAACCUUGUAAGGAUGACUUUAAA